rnacentral:rRNA from 1 species
GCCCUACGGGGCGCAGCAGUGGGGGAUAUUGCACAAUGGGGGGAACCCUGACGCAGCGACGCCGCGUGGGUGAAGAAGUAUUUCGGUAUGUAAAGCCCUAUCGGCAGGGAAGAAUUUAGACGGUACCUGACUAAGAAGCCCCGGCUAACUACGUGCCAGCAGCCGCGGUAAUACGUAGGGGGCAAGCGUUAUCCGGAUUCACUGGGUGUAAAGGGAGCGUAGACGGCCAGACAAGUCUGAAGUGAAAAUCCAGCGCUUAACGUUGGAAGUGCUUUGGAAACUGCCGGGCUGGAGUGCAGGAGGGG